rnacentral:misc_RNA from 1 species
GAUGAAGAACGUAGCGAAAUGCGAUAGGUAGUGUGAAUUGCAGAUGUAACGUGAAUCAUCGAAUCUUUGAACGCAAAUUGCACUCUCUGGUAUUCCGGGGAGUAUGCCUGUUUGAGGGUCGCCAAAUCAACAUCGAAAUUCAUUUGCUUUUGUAAAUGUUUAUCGGAUUUGAGCCGUCUUUUAUUUUUUUAAUUAAAGUGGCUUAAAAUGUAUUUUUUUGGUAUCGAAAAACGUUAUUUUACGAUCAAAUUGAUUAAAAAAACAAACGUUUCGAAUGCCGUCUUUUAAUGUAAUACGCUUGACUGUGGUGUUAAUCAUAGUUUCAUUCGUAUACGAUUUUUUAAUUUUUGACCUCAAAUCAGGUAAGAACACCCGCUGAACUUAAGCAUAUCAAUAAGCGGAGGA